rnacentral:lncRNA from 1 species
AAUUAAUGUUAGUCACUGUUGUCUUUUUUGUUUUUGUUUUUUUUUUUUUUUUUUGAGGCGGAGUCUCGCUCUUUCGCCCAGGCCGGACUGCAGUGGCGCUAUCUCGGCUCACUGCAAGCUCCGCCUCCCGGGUUGACGCCAUUCUCCUGCCUCAGCCUCCUGAGUAGUUGGGAUUACAGGCGCCCGCCACCGCGCCUGGCUAAUUUUUUGUAUGUUUAGUAGAGACGGGGUUUCACCGUGUUAGCCAAGAUGGUCUCGAUCUCCUGACCUCGUGAUCCGCCUGCCUCGGCCUCCGGCCUCCCAAAGUGCUGGGAUUACAGGCGUGAGCCACCGCGCCCGGCCCUCACUGUUGUCUUUUAAGUAGUGAAACAGGAAUGUCUCUCUGAUCAGAAAGCACAAUUAAGAUUCUGCAGAAAAGGAAAUCCAGCUCGGUGCCACCAAUCUGUACUAGGAAUGAAGAUUUGUUACCUGUCCUGCUGACGUCAGACCCAGCACCAGGUGCAGAAGCAACCAUCAUACAAAAAUCAAGCUUCCUUAAUUAUGGUCAGCAUUCUUGAGCAAACAGAUAUGACAGCAUGCUUAAAGGAUGAAAAUCAAACCCAAUGGCAUUUGAACAGA